UCUGGUGUCUACAGUUUCUCAAAAUAAUUAGCUCAAAAUAAUCCUAUGCUAAAGAGGCAUAUUUUGGAGUAGCAUAUUCUGGUCUCCUACAGUCAUAUUUUAGAGUGGCAUAUCUUGAAUCCCAACA